rnacentral:tRNA from 1 species
GGGGAUUUAGCUCAGUGGUAGAGCGCUUGCCUAGGAAGCGUAAGGCGCUGGGUUCGGUCCCCAGCUCCG